rnacentral:rRNA from 1 species
AACGAACGCUGGCGGCAGGCUUAACACAUGCAAGUCGAGCGCCCCGCAAGGGGAGCGGCAGACGGGUGAGUAACGCGUGGGAAUCUACCCAUCACUACGGAACAACUCCGGGAAACUGGAGCUAAUACCGUAUACGUCCUUCGGGAGAAAGAUUUAGCGGUGAUGGAUGAGCCCGCGUUGGAUUAGCUAGUUGGUGGGGUAAUGGCCUACCAAGGCGACGAUGCAUAGCUGGUCUGAGAGGAUGAUCAGCCACACUGGGACUGAGACACGGCCCAGACUCAUACGGGAGGCAGCAGUGGGGAAUAUGGGACAAUGGGCGAAAGCCUGAUCCAGCCAUGCCGCGUGAGUGAUGACGGCCCUAGGGUUGUAAAGCUCUUUCGCAGGUGAAGAUAAUGACGGUAACCUGAGAAGAAGCCCCGGCUAACUUCGUGCCAGCCGCCGCCGUAAAAC